GUAUUGUAUGAAAGGAGAGAAGCUUAGCACUACCCUUGACAAGGAUAGAAGAGGCCCUUGGCCCUAACAACCCAUAUAAGGUUAAGGCAUUGCCAACUACUUUGUGGUAUUUAACCUCUUUUUUUA